rnacentral:lncRNA from 1 species
CUCGAUACAAGACUGGAUCUAUUCCCCAUUCUUUCGAGCCGUUUAUUCCUAAAUGCGUAUAUAAAUCUGCUUUGUAUCUUAAUCGUUUAUGUAUCCCAGAAUUUAUUAUACCAUCUCUUAGAACAUGAACUUAUGUUUCAUUGAAAAAGUUGUAAAUAAAAAUGAUGUGGUCGUCUUUGUUUUCAAUUACUGCACUGGCUUUUUCCGAACAACUAGGAAUUAUUUUCCUUAUUACACCAUCUGCAAUAAUUCUCCAGAGUCCUUCGAUUUCACUUCCUGUUUUUCCAUAUAACAUCGAUUUGCCACUGGUGAAUGAAUAUUCUUCUGCAAG